CUAAGCUGCCCAUCAAUCAUCACAUCCCCUUUCUCCCACUUACUUUUCUAUCACCCCGUAGAUUCCCAACAGCUGUCCUUAAGUCCUCCAGGCUACAGAAACCACUCUUGAAACAAUAUGUCAGCAUACCAUUAGUGCCCUUUAACUCAUACCCUCACUUCCCAGCCCCUCCUCUGUGAACGAAGUCUCUCCUUACCUCUUCCUCCAGCACUAAUCAAUCUAAUGUUCCUUCACUCUUUUCUCCCCUCCCAGCUUCCCUCCAACCUGCACCCAAUCCCCCCAAAUCCUUUCUCCUCUUUCUUUGCAAUUCUCCACACCAAGACUGAACACUUGUCAGAAAUGGUGCUCCCCCUGGGCCCCUCCACACCUCCUGAAGCCCAAUCCCUGUCACUUCUUACCACCCCCAGCUCCCUGAUGGCCCUGGGCCUCCCUCCCGACAGCUGAGGCCCUUCCUGGAUCUCUACACGUCACCAAGCUAAGCCAGUGUUCCAAAAUAGUCUCCUGAACAAUGAUGACAACUGCACAGUUAUUUUGGAAGAACUUCCUGGCAGUGAUGGCAGUGGAACAUUGGAAACAGAGAUGAACAGGAGGUGGGAAGAGGAGGCUAAGUACAUGUAGGCCUAAAAGUCUCUGCCUUGGGAGAUUUUUAACAGUCCUGGAUGGAGAUCCCCUCACUGAGACUUCCAAAGAUUUUUAUCAACAAUUUUAUGUCACUCCCACUAACUCUUUGAAGGUAAAUGGCAGAAUUAAUUUUCCCGUUUAAAAAACAGAAACACAAAGACCCAGUGGAGUCUGCAUUUUCUAGUUUUAGUCAGCCAUUCUGGAAGCUGCGUCCUGGUAACCGCAGUGUCCCAGCUGUGAACUCCGGGCAAGUGUACAGCAUCAUCUUCCAUUCACCAUGUGGUUACUGCACUUCUCAUACAAACUACCUGCGUUACUCAGUUAUCCAGUAUCAAGGACUAUGCCACACUCCUUAGAGCAGAUGCAGGGCACUUAGAGAUUAAUAAAACAGGCCGAGCACAGCCUGUAACCCCAGCACUUUGGGAGCCUGAGAUGGAAGAACUGCUUGAGCCCAGGAGUUCAAGACCAGCCUCGGCAACAUAGUGAGACCCCCAUCUCUACUAAAAAUAAAAAAUUAGCCUUGCAUGGUGGCACCUUCCUGUGGUCCCAGCUACUUGGGAGGCUGAGAUGGGAGGAUCCCUUGAGCUCAGGUGGUUGAGGCUGCAGUGAGUUGUGACUGUGCCACUGCACACCAGCCUGGGCAACAGAGCAAGACUCUGUCUCAAAAAAAUUAAUUAAUUAAAUAAAAAUAAAAAUAAAACCCUUUUAGAGUUCAAGUCUUAAUUGCCAUAUGGCUUUGAGCAACUUAUUUUAUCUCACUGUGCCUCCAUUUCCUAGACCUGGAAACGAAAAUAAGAGAGAAUGAAAUUUAAACAGCUUCUCAGAAGAGUAUGUAAGUUAAGCCACAUAAAACAUAUAAAUAAAUAUCUGUCACUUAGUAGCCACUCAGCACAUGGUAAUUACAAAGCAUGGUGCCAUAAGAAGUUGCUGGGGAGGCAGACAUGUAAAUGAAUGCAGAAAAUAUAUGAGGAAUACUAAAAUACAAAUUAAAGUGUCCUGUGGCUUUUUCAUCCACAUAGAUGAGUGUCAAAGCUACUAUCUCUCUGGGAGGAUCAUGGCAGACAGGAGGCAGGUCUAGAUUGCAGCUCCCACUCAGAUGGACAGAGCAGCAUGUGGAGUAUUGCAUCAUGAACUUUUGCUCCAGAAUGACUGCAGGAAGAAAUCAGGAAAGCCAAGAGAACCCACAGACCCUCUGAGGGAAGUGAAUUGCUCCUGCAGGACCUGGGAGACACCCCAAACACCAUGAGUGCCCAAACUAUGGAAGUCGGAAAGGGGCAUCGUUCACCCCCAAACACACAACCUCACUGGGGAACCGCAAGAUCUAGAUCACUGGAGAAGAUUCUGACAUUACCUGGAGCUGAGUCAAUUUAGAGAGCCGAGUGAAAUGCAGGGGUAGAGGAAGCAGUGGGAAAAUCCCUGUGGGCUCUCUGGGUGACCUAGCAAUCCAUUUCUGCCUUGCCUCCCAGGGGUCAUUGGGGAGGGCUACCAGAGGCACUGGGAAAAGGCCACAGGGAGAAGGAAGCCUCCAGCUGAACUUUGUAACAAUUCCAACUGAACAAGAAGUCUCCUGGCCAGAACUACAGGGAGGGCGUGAAUCCUGUGUGCAGACCACAGGCAGGGAAGC
rnacentral:lncRNA from 1 species